CCCCCCCCCCCGAAAAAUAUUUCUGGCUACGGGCCUGAAUUUAGUAUUUCAUCCUCUACUUUCUCCGGUAUGGUGUCUUCUUGUAAUACCCAACUGCACUUGUAAAGCGUAAGAUUGCAUUGCUGCUCACAUUGAUUCGUUAAGUGCAAGUACCGUAACUAAUUAUAGGGUAACUUAUCACAUUACGCUGAUUAGCUUAUGGUUGCUUUUAACCAUGGAAUUUCACAGAUUACGCUACACUUCUUUUCAUGGUGACACAUUCCUGCUAAGCCUAGGAACAAUUGAAGUCGAGUUGCAGUCUUAAAAUCAGCUACUUUUUAUCACUUAAUAUUGACCCCACAAAACCCAAACAUCAUUCCACAUUGAAUAAAACUUAAAAAAAUAGAUCGCCUUUAUUUCUGGCCACGUAGGGACAUUCAUACCAAAAACAAUUAAAUGUUAUUUGACCUAAAACUAGUUAGUAUAUUAAUUAGUAAUUUGUUUGCUAAAUUAUUCACAACUCAAACUUUGCUCUAACAUGUCAAAAAUGCUGCUUUGGGUUUUGUUUUAAGUUUUCUGCACUUAGAUCAGCAUUUGUAGGUGUCAAACUCCCAAAAACUAUAACAUCGGGCUUUGUGGGGUUAAGGUUGAGUCAAGAUGAGGCAAACCAAAGGCCCAUUAGCAACCAUUUCCAGUGCGUGCAACACACAGUGUGGUGGAUGAUGGCAGUGACAUAUUGAGGAGAGUGCUUCUUCCAUAGUCUGAUUGUGCCAGCGUCAUGGUCACUCCUGACUUCAAGAAUGAUGGGUUCGUGGGUUUGUGGUUAGGAGUUAAGACAGAAACCAAUUGUACCUACCAGAGCCGGGUUAAUGUGACGAUUCUAUUCCAGCGAUAUUCAUUUUCACAAUUAGUUAUCUAAGUAGCACUGACUAAGUGCACAUUAUCAGCCGGCUGUGAAUGGUAAAUGAUAAAGAAAUAGAAUUGAGCAAAAAGAAUCCUUACAUUAUACUGGUCUGGAAGCUAGACUGAGACACAUUUUAAGUUCUGAACUGCUUCUUGCUGAUAUGACACCAUUCUAGUGAAAAAAAAAAAAGAGAAAAAAAGCUGUGCUUUUAAUACUAGAGCGUUGACUUGGGCUAGCUGGUACACAUGGUGUAAUGUUACCAUAAAGAAAGUCCAAGUGCAAAUUUCUAGAAUGCCAUUUAUUUAGAAGGUAAUUCUCCUCAGAAAAAUUUUUGACGAGGACAUAUCACGGGGCGUCUUCUAUUAUCCGUCCCUGACAGCCCCGGAUUGUUCGAAGCAGUGCUUUCAGCCAAUAAGCGUUGCCUGUGCAGCUUCUCGGACAGUCCGGGACUGUCAGAGACGGAUAAUUGAAGAGGCCCACUAUGUCCUUGUCAGUAUGUUUGUUAUAACCAUUAACAUGACAAGAUUACUGCUUUGUUCAGACUACCAUGCUCCAGUGUGGUACAAUUAAGUGUAGGCUUGUUAUGCAUCUUUUUGCUGUGAAUACUGAAUACUGAGAUGAAGUAUAUAUAUAUCGGCAGUGCUGCUAGCAAGCCAGCAGCGAGCGCUCCAUGACAGUUCCAUGACAAUUUAUAUAAAUUUCUUUGUGGGUGUACGUAGUUUAUUCAGGUUCUGCCUUGCUCUUUUUCUCUUUAUUUUAAUUUUUCCCACAAUAUAGUAAAAUAUACCAAUAUUUCCAUUACCAUUUCAUCAACACCUGAAAGAAAAACUGCACCUCUGCAAAGAGUGGGCUGCAUACAACCUCACUGAAAAUGUGGCUUUUAUCUUUUUUAUUUUAUUACAGUCAAACCUUACUAUAUUGAAGUUGCAUCCGACAUGAAAAUACCUCCAUUACAUUCAAUAUAUUUGUUAAAGGCGUAUAUUUGUUAAACACUGAUGUUGGCAAAAAAAUUUCUUUAAAUAAUUUUGUUAUUUCCAAUAAAUUGUUAUAUCCAUGUUCGCUAUAUUCAGGUUCAACUGUAUUAUUAUUUUUCAAGUAAUACAUUUGUACUGCAUGCCCACAAAAAGGGAAGGAAGGAGCAAGAUAGCUUCCGAACUGAGUGCAGGCCUUGUUUGGUGCAGUGGCAGUGAUAGUACUGCAAGUUCAAAAUUCCUGCAGCCAUUCACGUGCUAUUUUAACAUAAUUGUGCUAAAAACAAAGUCAUUGACCAGCCACAUUCUUGUGUCAGAAAUGUUCAGAGCCAGCUCAUGCAUGGUAGUUACCGCACUGAGAAGAGAGCUACAGGAGGCUAAUUACUAAAGAAUGUGAAGUGGAAGCAUAGACAAUGGCAGUGGAAGCUGGGUGAUUCAGCAUGGCAAGUUCUACAACCAAGGCUAACCAUAGCUGCUUGGGCACAAAGUAUAAAGUGUAAAAGCAAGCGUGGCAUGAUAUUCGGUAGUAACGUUGGCAACACCAGUAAAGAUUCACAGCUUCCAACACGGUAAGACUGACAAAACGAUAUCAAAGGCCGUAAGCAUGGUAUAGGGCUUUUCUUAUUUUUAAUGCAGCUCCAUAUCGGAAAAAUUAUAAGAGGAGGUUUGCAAGGUAAUGCUCAUCAGCCCAGUCAAAACAUUUUGUUAUAUGCCGUAAGUUGUGAAGCACCAUUCAGAGAACUUUGUACCGCAAGAAUUUUUAGGUAGAAUUUGGUAGUAGACAAGAUGAAAGCAAAUGAAAUGUUGUGAGCCAAUGCCUCUACCAUGCCCACAGGCGAAUUUCCUUUCCUGCCUUCUCCCAUGCCAGAGCCGAGGGCUCAGGUGAUCUUCACAGCACGACCCCCACCUCUUUUCUUGUUGUGCAGUGCACUUCCAGGGGUGGUUUUGUGCACUCUGCACUUCAUGGCAAUCCCCGAGUUGUUUGCGCUGCUACUGGCUAUUUAUGUGCUGCAGGUAUUGGGUCUUUAAUACGGACGUGCCACACGUGCAUUGUUAUCUCUGCUAGCAGAGAGAUAGACUUCUCUGAGAAGGGGGGCAUGGAGCCUUUUGUUUGAAAUUUAGCUGUUUGCCGCAUACAUUGGUGUAAUACCUUGCAGCCAUGAUGGUCCCCACACUUUGUUUGUCUGUUUCCUAUGCUAAAACCUGGUGAGGGCAUAAGCAUUUUGCAACUUUAGUAUAAAGGGUUGCAGGCACCCUUAGAUUGAGCCCUGGACCACCCCCUUAAAAUUGCUGAUUUAACAUUCUGCAGGUAGAACAUGGAACUGGAACCUUUGAGCCAAGUUUUGUACUUAUAUAUGCAGCACAUAAGGUUAACAAAUGGCAUGUAACGACAGCUCCCCCUCAUUUUGAAGAAAGGGCCCCUCCUCACAAUUUUUAGAACUGCUGGCUGGCCGCCAGCUAAUGUUGUGUAGCAGCGGCCUACAGACACCAGCCAUUAGCAAAUGUUUUUGACUGCAAAUUGCUUGCACACAUUCCUAGCUUUCCAAAUCUAUCAAAAAUAACUGGGAAAUGGGGAAGUGAGAGUUGUUAACAUGCUCUACCUGUCUUGUUGCCACUGCUUUGUCACUUUCGAGCAGUGUUGUCAGAAACCCAUCUUAUGAGGUUACCAUAAGCACACUACAGAAAGCAAAAAACGAGAGAAAAAAAAAAUGCAGUAGGCAGGGCAUCGGUUACUGGCACCACCACCACUAAGGAGUAUGGAUGAGAUGAAAGAAAAUGGGGAAAGUAAACAUUGCACUUCUGAUUUUACCGUUUAUAUUAGGUCAUCAAAAAAUUUGUUCAAGUGUAUAUUCCUUGAAAGACACCACACUCGUCUGCAUGUGUUUCUAAGGUCUUGGGAAAGGGUGUUUUAGGGCCCUUUUAUGGAAUUUAUCAAGACAGAGCAUUUAUCAUUGGUUCUUAUCGACUUGUGUAGGCAACAAACUCUUUUUGGGUGCUGUGCUCAAGGUGUCUUGAUAAUGCUGACAUUAAGCACUUUUGAAAUGGCUUUCACAAAACAUGGGUAUCUGUUUAGACAAGUAAACAGGAUACAUUAGGUAGGCAAAAAAUAAUUCUCCUAAGACACAUUUUAUCCUUUUCUAAUUUUUAAAUAAGAACAUUGUCACCGUGCUGGACUUUGCAGGUCUUAAGCAUUUUUAAUACCAUAGUUGAACUGAUAAAAAAAAAAAAUACUUUGUUCGUUGUUCAAGUAUCAAGUUCAUUGCCAUGAUGUGCUCUUACUGUUUGUGUGUUGUGUUUUGCUUUGUGACUGACAGGAAUACUGUAAUGUUAAUCCUGAAUUUAAAGCAAGUCUUAUCUCAGUUGGAAAACAUAUUGUUCUGGACCAGAAAAGAUGUCAAACUGGGUGGAUAGUUUUAAAUUUCUGCUCAUGCUUUUAAAACAACCUUUUAUUUUCAGCCCUGCCCACUCCGCCUUCUCAUGUGUAAUAGGCUCAUAGCAUCAUAGCAUGUGCCAGUGGCUGUAAGAAUCGUGAUUAACAGCAAAAAAAAAAAAAAAAAAAAAAGAAGAAGAAGAAGAAGGAGACAAGGAAGAAAAUAGGGAUGACACCACUGUUGUCUUUCUACUGAAGGUUUAUUGUGCUCUGCCCACAUGUGGGAGGGAGCAAGUGCAGAACAAGAGGGUGAAGAAAGCUGUCAAGGGAAGUGUGUGUGCAUGAGCGUACUGAGAGAUUUUAUAUCCUAAAGGGCUUGGAAUACUUGAGGUCAGUGCCGCUUUAAAACCCCUUGAAUUAAAAAUUUGACCCUGUUGUAAAAUAUAUACAUAGCAAAAUUGACCUUGCUGCAGUGACCUCUGGCCUUUGCCGUUUUUGUUGACGGCCUGGUUCAUUAUGUGUGCUUCAAAACUGCGGGCUUGCAAUAUGUUUGUGGUGUGGAGAUGUACGUUUUGUAACCUUGACCUAGAGGAACACACAAAGGACAUUGGUUAAGUGAAUGUGCUGCUGAUCUGGAUAUUAUUUGGCACUGGCAGAAAGUAUGGCGUGUCACUGGAAAGUUGUUCCUUCUUCAAAACACAAAUCACUGUAAAUAAAUUUUUUUAA